rnacentral:rRNA from 1 species
UACGAAGGGGGCUAGCGUUACUCGGAUUGACUGGGCGUAAAGGGCGCGUAGGCGGUUUGUACAGUCAGACGUGAAAUUCCUGGGCUCAACCUGGGGGGCUGCGUUUGAUACGUGCAGACUUGAGUUCGGAAGAGGGUCGUGGAAUUCCCAGUGUAGAGGUGAAAUUCGUAGAUAUUGGGAAGAACACCGGUGGCGAAGGCGGCGACCUGGUCCGAUACUGACGCUGAGGCGCGAAAGCGUGGGGAGCAAACAGG